rnacentral:tRNA from 1 species
GCUCUGAUAGUUCAAUGGAUAGAACAACUCUCUCCUAAAGAGUAGAUCCCAGUUCGAUUCUGGGUCGGAGUA